rnacentral:tmRNA from 1 species
GGGGGUGAUUGGCUUCGACUCCGGUCGUCGAGGUGGGAGAAGCGAGCCGUGGUCCCCGGAGCCACGUGAAAGAGCCGGGAAACAAACCAAACGCCGAGCCUCAGCUCGCGCUGGCUGCUUAACAAGUAGCCCGUCCGUCCGGUCUCAGCCCUACGGGCCGGUCACGGGCGUCAUCCAGUAGGGCUCACCCGAGCGGUUCCGCCGAUUGGCCGCCGGGGACACCAAAGAUCGGCUGGGGCACCCCGAGGUCGCCGGUGGCGGCGGGGAGCCCGAGACGAAGCCACCGGCUGCGCUCGGAGAAGGCCCACUGAGAACCCGGAGGACGCGGGUUCGAUUCCCGCCACCUCCACGA